rnacentral:ribozyme from 13 species
AAAAAACGAUCUCUCAAAACAAAAAAAAAGAAAGGGAGAAAGAGAAAGAGAAUUGUUUUUUGAUCUUUUUCUUUUUCUUUUCUUUCUUUCUUUU